rnacentral:rRNA from 1 species
AACGAACGCUGGCGGCGUGCCUAACACAUGCAAGUCGCGCGAGAACGGGGGGCAACUCCCUAGUAAAGCGGCGCACGGGUGAGUAACACGUAGGUAACCUACCCUCGAGUCCAGGAUAACCUACCGAAAGGUGGGCUAAUACCGGAUAUGACCACGGGAGCUUCGGCUCCUGCGGUGAAAGGUGGCCUCUGCUUGCAAGCCACUGCUCGGAGAUGGGCCUGCGCGCCAUUAGCUAGUUGGUGGGGUAACGGCUCACCAAGGCGAUGAUGGCUAGCUGGUCUGAGAGGAUGGCCAGCCACACUGGGACUGAAACACGGCCCAGACUCCUACGGGAGGCAAGCAGUGGGGGAUAUUGCGCAAUGGGCGAAAGCCUGACGCAGCGACGCCGCGUGGGUGAUGAAGGCC